rnacentral:lncRNA from 1 species
AACACCAAAAACUCAUCUGAUCCGCUGUUUUACACAAAAAGGAGCCCCAUCUUGAACUUUUCUUUCUUCGCGAUUAAAACAAAAGAAAACAAAAGAAGAGAUCUCUCUUCAACACAAAAUCGAGCCAUACUCCAACUCCAAUUCCUAUCUUAAGAAUUAUUAAGAAUUGUGGACGAAAGGAAUGAGAGUGAGAGCUUGGGACGAUUUUUAGUCCAAAAUUCGAAAACAGAGAAGAAAGCAUAAUGACCGCAAAAAAUGACUUUUGGGUUCAGGCGUGGCUGAGAUGCAGUGGAGAUUGAGUUUGUUUUUUGAGGUUCCGAUCCCGGUCCAAGAUCUGAUCCGAAUUUCUAUUUGUUAAAGAUCCGUUGAGGUCUGUUUCUACCUCUUUUCAUUAAUUAAUUCAAGAAUUCUUGGUGUUCUACCUUAGUUCUUUUGGUUUGAAUGAAUUUGUAUUCUUGAAAUUUUGAAUAUUCAGAUUAAAGCUAUUAAGAUGGAAUAAUUUGCUUUCUCUGUGUUUCUAAAUGGAACAAUUUGUUAUUCAGAUGAAAUCAAUUAAAUAAAUGUAAUCUUGAGUUGUUGAAGGAUUUUUUGGUAUUCUGUUAUGUUGGAGCAGUUCGAUUUUGAAACAGUUUGAGGUUGAAAUGAAAUUUGGUUAUAUGAAUUAAUGGAAAAUCACUUGAAACAUGUUUCAACACUGAGAGUAUGGCUUGGUUAUCAAAUGGACUGAGUUAGGUUCAUUUAUAUUUGGAAGCUUUCAGUUUAGAACUUGCUACUUGCAUAAAAUUUGUUGAGUACUUCUGCUAGUUUAGAAAUAAACUAUGACAGUUGUUAGGGGUGUAUAAUGAUCGCAUAUUCUGUAGAUUUUGCUGAUGAAUAUCCCAUCACAAAAAGAUUUGGCUGAUGAUUAUUUGCACUGAGAGAUAUGUAUUCAUAUCCUUGUGCAUUCUGGCACUUAUUCAUGGAUGCCCAUCGGAUUUAAUAACUUAACAAGCACUAACAUGUUUUCUUUGUUUGGUUGCCUCGGUAGAUGUUGUUAAAUCAGGAUGUUUUUCCUAGACUGCACUUGAUAAAAUUGGUGUUUAUGCAUAUUAAUAUGUCCACAUUGUAGAAUAAAAUAAUACGUGAUCUUAAAAAAAAUAUCCUUUGUGUUAUUAAAAUGGCCCAUUCGGUUAGCCAAAUCAUUUGUGGCAUUAAUUUCAUUGUUUUUAGAAAGAUGUUGAAUUAGUCUCGGAAGUAAUCAUAAAAACUAAUUUUCCAGGUGAACUUAAAAGCUGGUUUCUAUCUAGAAGGAUGUUGAUUAUUCAUACGAAGAUGAUCAAUUUUCUGAUUUAUGUGCUUUUGUUGAGACAUGAAGCUUUUAAGAAAUUUUUUGUCAUAAUUUUCUUUGAGGAAACUUUAUCAGAAAUGGGUUGAAGAUUCACAAUUUGAGUGAAACUCAAAAGACGCAUAAGUUAGUGGUAGUGCAUCUAUUCAGUUUAAUAAUUUUGAAAUUUUCUAGCAAAAAUAAUUUUGUCUUUUGUUUCUUUACCACUGUUUGACAUAUGCUUAGCUAGUAAGUAAUUGAAUAAGUUUAAG